rnacentral:lncRNA from 10 species
GCUUGCUGAUGCUCCCAGCUGAAUAAGUCCCUUCUUUCUACAACUCGGUGUCUUGAGUUUUGUCUGCGGCUCCUCCUGUUACAUUUCUUGGCUCCCUGACCGGGAAGCAACGUGACUGACAGACAGCUGAGGCAGCCCCUUAGGCAACUUAAGCCUGCCUUGUGGAGUGCCCCUGUGGGGGACUCCAGCCAGCCUGAGUGACAUGAUCCAAAGAGCCCUCCUGGGUAGGAAAUUGCCCCGGUGGAAUCCCUCACCAGAGAAGCAGGUAGCAGGCCCUCGCAGAGGAUUAACACAGUGGCUGAACACCAGGAAGGAACUGGCACUUGGAGUCCAGACAUCUAAAAUUUGGUAUCGUGCCUUGGAUCCACCACAGUCAGCUGAAAUUAUCAGCCCAGGACCAGUGGACCAACCAGCAGGACAUAGACCAUCUGACCCGAAUGAUCCUGCAAUGAGACCACAUUGCCAGUGGAGAUGACAACAGCACUGCUCUGGUCACUCUGGAAGAUGACCAGUCUAUGCAUGGUGGAAGCUUGAGAAAAUAGCAAGCCCUGCUCUAGUCACACCAAGAACUGACUAGUCUAUGCACGGCCGAAGCUUGAAGAAUCGUCAUCAGAUGAAUAAAUGUGGCCAGAAAUCUUAGGCCCAGUAAUCUUCUUUGUAUUAUUCAUUAUAUUGCUCUUGUGCUAUUGUUUAACCAACCCCCUAAAUGCCUUUACUGUUCAUGCUGGCUGUAAGAAUGCUACUGUUUGCUUUGUUUGUGCUGAUCCCCAUAUCUAUGCUAGAAGGAGGACCCGUAUUAGGAUGCCGUCACUGCAUGCACACUACAUGGAUAAGAAACACAGUAAUUGCUCACGCCUGUAAUCCCAGCACUUUGGGAGGCCGAGGCGGGCGGAUCACGAGGUCAGGAGAUCGAGACCAUCCCGGCUAAAACGGUGAAACCCCGUCUCUACU